rnacentral:rRNA from 1 species
UACGUAGGGUGCGAGCGUUAAUCGGAAUUACUGGGCGUAAAGCGUGCGCAGGCGGUUUUGUAAGCCAGAUGUGAAAUCCCCCGGGCUCAACCUGGGAAUGGCAUUUGGGACUGCAAGGCUGGAGUACGGCAGAGGAGACUGGAAUUCCUGGUGUAGCAGUGAAAUGCGUAGAUAUCAGGAGGAAUACCGAUGGCGAAGGCAGGUCUCUGGGCUGAUACUGACGCUCAUGCACGAAAGCGUGGGAGC